UGAAAUGCUUCUUGGGCCAAAGUAGGAGGUUAUUUAUAGAAUACAAUUUGAUAUGGAUUUACAACAAAAUCGUCUGCAUCGCCAUUGACUAACUUAUUGCUUUUCAUUUUUGAGAUGAGAGGAAUCGACUAGCUACAUUUACACAAGCGCCUAGAAUGGUGCAUAGUUUUUACAAACAAAAGACAUACACAUGGUACACACACACAACUAUGGAAGCAUAGUAGCAGAGUAGGAGGAGCAUCUUGCAGUGCCCGAGUUCCUUGACUUCCUCGCGAUCCCACGGUUAAUUAAUUGAGAAAUCUGUCUAGCUCAGUCUUCCUGGGCUAGGGAAUUUCCUUGAAUUUGCACCUUUAAAAUUACAGGGGUCUCUCCUCCUACACCACACAAAUAGUCAAUACUUUUGCACCUUUUGUGUUGUUGCAAAUUCACAUAUUGUGGCACGAAAGGUGACUCAACUUUGCCAGUUGCAGAUGGUCUGUCGAUAUUUUCAUCAGCACACAACUUUUCUCCGCGCAGAAAAUAAAUAAAUAGACAAUUUCUCUGUUGGUAUCGCUUGUAGUACACUAAUAUGAUUGCCGUAAUGUAGUGCACUCUUGAUAUACACCUCCUUGGCAUCUAAAAUGUUAUUAUAGAGAUCAGAUAGCUCAAAUGCAUGUGCAAGUUCUUGUCUGACUUUGUCAUCAUUGGUCUAGAAAAUUAUAGGUUUCCACUCAACAGCCAUGCUAAAUUACUCCCUGUGGGCCGGUAUAUUAGCCGGG
rnacentral:lncRNA from 1 species